rnacentral:rRNA from 1 species
UACAGAGGGUGCGAGCGUUAAUCGGAAUUACUGGGCGUAAAGCGUGCGCAGGCGGCUUUGCAAGACAGAUGUGAAAUCCCCGGGCUUAACCUGGGAACUGCAUUUGUGACUGCAAGGCUGGAGUGCGGCAGAGGGGGAUGGAAUUCCGCGUGUAGCAGUGAAAUGCGUAGAUAUGCGGAGGAACACCGAUGGCGAAGGCAAUCCCCUGGGCCUGCACUGACGCUCAUGCACGAAAGCGUGGGGAGCAAACAGG